UACGUAGGGGGCGAGCGUUGUCCGGAUUUAUUGGGCGUAAAGAGCUCGUAGGCCGUUCGGUAAGUCAGAUGUGAAAACUCCAGGCUCAACUUGGAGAGGCCAUCUGAUACUGCUGUGACUAGAGUCCGGUAGGGGAGCACGGAAUUCCUGGUGUAGCGGUGAAAUGCGCAGAUAUCAGGAGGAACACCGGUGGCGAAGGCGGUUCUCUGGGCAUGUCCUGACGCUGAGGAGCGAAAGUGUGGGGAGCGAACAGG
rnacentral:rRNA from 1 species